CGGGGUGUAGCGCAGUUGGUAGCGCGCUUGGUUUGGGACCAAGAUGCCGCAGGUUCGAACCCUGUCACCUCGACCA
rnacentral:tRNA from 1 species